GGACGGGUGAGUAACGCGUGAGUAACCUGCCUUACAGAGGGGGAGUAACGUCUGGAAACGGACGCUAAUACCGCAUGACAUAUAAUUACCGCAUGGUAAAAGAUAUCAAAGGAGCAAUCCGCUGUAAGAUGGACUCGCGUCCGAUUAGCUAGUUGGAGGGGUAACGGCCCACCAAGGCGACGAUCGGUAGCCGGACUGAGAGGUCGAACGGCCACAUUGGGACGUGAGACACGGCCCAGACUCCUACGGGAGGGCAGCAUG
rnacentral:rRNA from 1 species